CCUCCUUCACACCCCUCCCAUGGCCCCUGCAUCGGCCACUGUGUGCCAGGUCUGAGUUCACACAGACUUCUGGCUUCUGUGAACCCAGGACGGAAGACUUGAACUUCUCAGCUCCAAUCUGCUGGGCUAACUCAGAGGUGGCUUUUUUGGUACAUGAUGUCUCUUUGUAGAGAUGUGGCUUCUUUUAUGCAGCUGCCGGGACCCACAUUUUAAACCUGGUGGAUUUUCUGGGGGGGGGGGGAGGGUAAUAGAAGACUAUUUUCCAGGAACCCUUUUAAAUGUCCUGGGAAAAGCCAUCAAUUGAAAAAGCAUUCCUGUGCUUGGGUGGAUCUUCUGGGCAACCCCAGCAAAUCACUCUCACUUGGGCUUCCUCUUUUCAGUCGGAGGACACAGGAAUUAGCAGAUUUCCAAGGCUGCUUCCAGCUCAGAUAUUUUAGCUCUGUGACUCUUACUCCUUUGUUUGGAAAGGUUACAUAUCUCUUGGUUUUCUUAAAAUUAGGUAAGAAGAGAAUUGAAGAAGGCUUUAAAAUGUCCCCCCAAAAUAGCAGGUCCUAAACCCUGGAACCUGUAAAUGUUACCUUCUUUGAGAGAGAAGGUAAUUUUUUUUUUUUUGGCUGCAUCCAUAGCAUGCGGAAGUUCCCAGGCUAGGGGUCCACUCGGAGCUGUAGUCUCCGGCCUGCGCCAGAGCCACAGCAACGCGAGAUCCGAGCCGCGUCUGCACCCUACAUCACAGCUCAUGGUUCCUAGUCGGAUUCGUUAACCACUGCGCCACGACGGGAACUCCUUGUUAUUCUUUUUUGAUAGAGCAUUUAUAUUUAUCAAGAUGACUCCGGUUAUGCUAUUUCUAUGAAAAGCCCCCAGUCCUGUGGUCUCACUAACAACAGUUUACUUCAUACUCAUGGAACACAUUCAUCUGUGGUUGGUAUGUGUGUGUGUGAGCAGGGAGGGGCCUUGCCCCAUCUUAUACUCCAGGACUCAGGCAGGUCCCACCCCCCCUGCCAUGUCAGAGUUUACACUGGCUACAGAAAGUUACCUGGGGAGUCUCAGACUGGCUCUUGAAGGCUUUUGCUCACAGUUCGUGGGCCAGCGCUGGUCCCGCGGGCACUGUUCCCUUCCAGGAGCUGGGAGAGGUCAGUGUGUCGGGGACAAGAGGAAGCAGAGGGUUCCUGGUGGCCUGAAGGACCCCCGUGCUAUUCUGACCAACUUCCCUUUUGAAUGUCUAAGCUCGAGGCUGUAACAAAGCUGUGCCUUUGAAAGAAGAGCUUGAGAAGCUGGCUGAAAUAUGAAUGACAAGCAACCAUCUGACCUCUAGAAGAAGUUAUAGGAAAGCUACGUCCACCAGCCAUAAGGUCAAGUAGAUCUAUGGCGCUGGGCCGAUUGCCUGGACCCCUUUGUAGCUCCCAAGGGCGCACCUCAUGCUGUCGCAGCUCAAGUGAAAUUUAGUGCUGCACAGUUCCUUUGCCAGGCACCGUGCCAAGGUCGAGGAUACAUGAUUAACUGGGAUCAUUAAGAAAAAUUUAGAAUAUAUUUAUUAUAUUGAUCAUAAGACCAGGGAAGCGUCUUUUCCCUUAGUUAAAACGAAAUGUUUUAGCAAUAAAAGCAGUGAGACUUUUGUUACCUACAAAAGUCACUUAAAUGUUACCUAGGGAAUUGGUGCUGUAAAUAGUUUUCCAUUUUCUUCCUGUGUAGUUGGUAAGUGCUUGAUCCUUUGGACAAUCUUCCAGUCUCCCUUGUUCUUAAUUUCCUCUUGUUCAUCAGGCUCAUGAUUUUUGAGCAUCUCCAGUAGUGCACUGAAAAUUAGGCUACUCUGAUACAAGCGUAUAUGUGAGCACACACAUGCACGCACGCACACACACACACACACACACACACUCACUCACACCUUUCUGCUGGGAGAAAUAGGGGCUUCAGCAAACAGAAGGUCGUUGGUUGGGGUCAGAGAGGGUACCUGGCAUUGUUUUGGUCAAGCCUUACCUGUUAUCUUUGCUCUUUGCUCCCCAUACACUCUCAGGCAUCCCUUAUGCAGGUGGCUGGAAAGAAAACUUCCUAAAUAUCUUUGGCUCGCUUUCCUGGAGAUCUUCCUACUUAAUCGGCCAAACAGAUAUUUAUCAGACAUGGUUUUUAACCCCCGGGCAUGGUGAGGAAGCAACAAGAAGGGUCAGGUAUGGCCCUAGCACUCCGGGAGCUUACAGUUUGGAGGUGGGGAGAGAAACUGCUAGGUCCCUGCAAGGUGCCAGGCACUGUCCCCUGCCUGUUCUGGAUGCAGCAUCAGACUUAAGCCUACAAUAGCCCUUACCAGCUGUUGGGUUUUUUUGGUCAUUGUUUUUUCUCCUUGAUGAUGUAGGGAUUGAGACUAGGAGAAGACUAAUGACUUUGUCAUGCCUACGUAGUUAAUGGCAGCAUUUAUAUGGAGCUAGGAUUCUUUUUUAAAAAAUUGCUAUGGGAGUUCCCAUUGUGGCACAGUGGAAAUGCAUCCGACUAGUGUCCAUGAGAAUGCACGUUCGAACCCUGGCCUUGCUCAGUGGGUCGGGGAUCCAGCAUUGCUGUGGCUGUGGUGUAGGCCGGCAGCUGUAGCUCCGAUUCAACCCCUAGCCUGGGAACUUCCAUAUGCCUUGGGGGCGUUCCUAAA
ensembl:lncRNA